AGAGUUUGAUCAUGGCUCAGGACGAACGCUGGCGGCGUGCCUAAUGCAUGCAAGUCGCACGGGGCUCUUCGGAGCGCAGUGGCGGACGGCUGAGGAACACGUGGGUAAUCUGCCCUACCGUGGGGGACAACAGGUGGAAACACCUGCUAAUCCCGCAUACGGUCUGCUCUUGGGAGCGGAGGAAAGCGUGGCAACACGCGCGGUUGGGGGAGCCCGCGCCCCAUCAGGUAGUUGGUGUGGUAACGGCGCACCAAGCCGGUGACGGGUCACUGGUCUGAGAGGAUGACCAGUCAGACUGGGACUGAGACACGGCCCAGACUCCUACGGGAGGCAGCAGCAAGGAAUUUUCCGCAAUGGGCGCAAGCCUGACGGAGCAACGCCGCGUGGAGGACGACGGCCUUCGGGUUGUAAACUCCUUUUUGGGGGGACGAUGAUGACGGUACCCCUGGAAUAAGCCCCGGCUAACUCUGUGCCAGCAGCCGCGGUAAUUC
rnacentral:rRNA from 1 species